rnacentral:rRNA from 1 species
AUACGGAGGGUCCAAGCGUCAUCCGGAAUCAUUGGGUUUAAAGGGUCCGCAGGCGGUCAAUUAAGUCAGAGGUGAAAGCCCAUCGCUCAACGAUGGAACUGCCUUUGAUACUGGUUGACUUGAGUUAUACGGAAGUAGAUAGAAUAAGUAGUGUAGCGGUGAAAUGCAUAGAUAUUACUUAGAAUACCGAUUGCGAAGGCAGUCUACUACGUAUAUACUGACGCUGAGGGACGAAAGCGUGGGGAGCGAACAGGAUUAGAAACCCUAGUAGUCC